rnacentral:rRNA from 1 species
GACGAACGCUGGCGGCGUGCCUAAUACAUGCAAGUUGAGCGCUGAAGGUUGGUACUUGUACCAACUGGAUGAGCAGCGAACGGGUGAGUAACGCGUGGGGAAUCUGCCUUUGAGCGGGGGACAACAUUUGGAAACGAAUGCUAAUACCGCAUAAAAACUUUAAACACAAGUUUUAAGUUUGAAAGAUGCAAUUGCAUCACUCAAAGAUGAUCCCGCGUUGUAUUAGCUAGUUGGUGAGGUAAAGGCUCACCAAGGCGAUGAUACAUAGCCGACCUGAGAGGGUGAUCGGCCACAUUGGGACUGGGACACGGCCCAAACUCCUACGGGAGGCAGCAGUAGGGGAUCUUCGGCAAUGGACGAAAGUCUGACCGAGCAACGCCGCGUGAGUGAAGAAGGUUUUCGGAUCGUAAAACUCUGUUGGUAGAGAAGAACGAUGGUGGGAGUGGAAAGCUCAUCAAGUGACGGUAACUACCCAGAAAGGGACGGCUAACUACGUG